AAGGGCUGUCCCUAGUACGAGAGGACCGGGACGGACGAACCUCUGGUGUGCCAGUUGUUCUGCCAAGGGCAUGGCUGGUUGGCUACGUUCGGGAGGGAUAACCGCUGAAAGCAUCUAAGCGGGAAGCCUGCUUCGAGAUGAGGACUCCCACCCACUUGAUGGGGUAAGGCUCCCAGUAGACGACUGGGUUGAUAGGCCGGAUAUGGAAGCACGGUAACGUGUGGAGUUGACCGGUACUAAUAGGCCGAGGGCUUGUCCUCAGUUG
rnacentral:rRNA from 1 species